UCCACCGCCACCACCUCCCUUCAGCUGAUCAAUCACCUCUUCCUCCGGCGAUGCCUCGCGCCACCAUCCUCCUCCUCGUGCUCGCCCUCGUCGCGCCGCAGCUGUCAGCCGCCGACGCCGAUGCCCUCGUCGACGACGGCCACACCCCGCCGCCGUUCCACAUGUGCGGGAUCCUGCCGGGGCCGUACGCUGCCAACAGCACCUACGAAGCCAACCUGCGGUACCUCGCCGCCACGCUCCCAGCCAAGGUGAUGAACGGAUCCUCCUCCUCCUCCGUCGACGUCCUCGCCGGCGAGCGGCCGAACCUGAUCGCCGCGUCGGCCUCCUGCAACUCGUCGUCGUCGGAGUACCACGACUGCGGCGCCUGCGUCGCCGAGGCCUUCCGGUGCGCGCGGCGGCUGUGCCCGUACAGCCGGCACGCCGUGGUCCACCUCGGCGGCGGCGCGUGCAGCGUCAGGUACUACGACGUCGAGCGCACGGAGCAUGCGGAGGUGCUCAUGGUGUGGUGUCCUCCGGAGGCAUCACCAAGGAGCAUACGUCAUUCUGGUGGAACUUUAGGUUGCAUAAUUGGUAUAAAAGGAUUGCGUUUCAAGUAAGUCUCCAAGUGAUCGGAGUCGCCUGUGUUCUGUUCAUGUUCCUCCGAGAAUGGCGAGACAGAAAAAGAGGCACUGCCAAGCUGCUGCCGUAGGUGCUGCUGUAUGCCUGUAUGAUGUAUCUGUUCAGUUCAGGGUAUCAACUUCUGUUUGUAAGCCGAUUGAUCGCUGACCAGAACAAACAAAUUCAGUUUGACGCAAAAGAGAAGGGCACAUUUCGUACAAUAAUAUGUAGAUCCAGUUUUUUGUUGCUAAUAAGAAUGUACAUCAAAAGAAUUAAUAGGCGCAUUUUCCUUCUUCCAGUAACCAGUUUACCAAAUUACUGCUGAUUAUCCUCCUCAAGUGAAAAUUAAACAUACCAUGAUUCCGAUUUGCCAAUCAUAGUUGACAGGAGAUUUUUUUUCGCAAACGCACAAAAACCUUGCACGUUAAUAUAUUAGAAGAAAAACAACGUACAUCGGUAACACGCCUAAACGAUUACAGGGGUAGGCGGUACAGUAUGACCAUGUCUGCAAUCUCCGAUUCAUGGCACACCUCGAAGAUUGACCGGAGAUUUGUGAUGUUGACUAACACUCGAAGUUUGAUGAGCAGAAGAAAAUCGCGAACUUGUAAUAAAUGUUAGUCGAUAUAGCGGAAUGACGACUAACCUUCUCGAUCGAUUCAGUUAUUGAUCAUCCAAGACACACAAGAUAACGACACAUGAACACACGAUAUUUGUUAACGAGGUUCAGCCGAAACCUACAUCCCCGAGGCUCUGAUUAUGGGCGCCCAUCCCCAACCAAUAUAACUCCUAGCCGCUACGAGUCCAUGACCUCGCCGCUAUCCCCUCCUUACGUGUCUACGUUACAUUGUGGUCGCUAUAGUUAUAUUGUGGUGCCCCCCUCUCUAUUUAAGAGAGAUGUCGGGUUUCAGAGUCCGACUCUAACUUCACCCCCUACCACCUAUUACAACUCCAAGUCCAAUUAUAAUCAAAUAGGACUAGUAUAUUCGACACCUAUUAUAUCAGAACUAGUGAUUCAAGAGGAGAGAAGAGGAAGGCUGAAGUAAUGGAGGGGUACCAAGAGGUGGUAAUAGGCCUAAUAUUUUAGCAUACAAAAUGUGAGGGUUGGGCAAAAAGAAUUAGGCUGAGAUUUAAUAGAUUUUUUAUCUAAAAAUAUUUAAGGGCUGAGGUGGGUUGCAAAAGGGCCAAUGAGCACUGGCCCAUUACCACCUGAGGUACCUGGGUGAGAUGGGGACCAUGAGAUGACAUCGGUGUGAGAAGGAGACGGCGUUGCCCUACCCGAGGUCAUAUAUAUGAACCAGACUAAGUGGGCCAGCGACAGAACCUACUCUCCUUACCCUAGUUAUGUGGUCGUCCAUCGAGCUCAUCCCACUUGUUCGCCCGGACACCCGUGGCCCUGCCUCGACGUGAGGGUGAGGAGGCUUGACGGUGAGGAAGACCAAUCGCCAGGGACAGUCAGGUGGCGGCGCAACGGAGACUGAACAGUGGCAAGUCGACGAUGACCUAUGUGAUGGAUCUGAGCGAGCGUGGGAAGGAUGCAAGGGGUCUUGUCACCAAUUGG